UACGUAGGCAGCGAGCGUUGUUCGGAGUUACUGGGCGUAAAGGGUGUGUAGGCGGUUGUUUAAGUUUGGUGUGAAAUCUCCCGGCUCAACUGGGAGGGUGCGCCGAAUACUGAAUGACUUGGAGUGCGGGAGAGGUGAGUGGAAUUCCUGGUGUAGCGGUGGAAUGCGCAGAUAUCAGGAGGAACACCGGUGGCGAAGGCGCCACUCUGGGCCGGUACUGACGCUGAGGAGCGAAAGCGUGGGGAGCGAACAGG
rnacentral:rRNA from 1 species